rnacentral:rRNA from 1 species
AGAGUUUGAUCCUGGCUCAGGAUGAACGCUGGCGGCGUGCUUAACACAUGCAAGUCGAGCGAAGCAGUUAAGAAGAUUCUUCGGAUGAUUCUUGACUGACUGAGCGGCGGACGGGUGAGUAACGCGUGGGUGACCUGCCCCAUACCGGGGGAUAACAGCUGGAAACGGCUGCUAAUACCGCAUAAGCGCACAGAGCUGCAUGGCUCGGUGUGAAAAACUCCGGUGGUAUGGGAUGGGCCCGCGUCUGAUUAGGCAGUUGGCGGGGUAACGGCCCACCAAACCGACGAUCAGUAGCCGGCCUGAGAGGGCGACCGGCCACAUUGGGACUGAGACACGGCCCAAACUCCUACGGGAGGCAGCAGUGGGGAAUAUUGCACAAUGGGGGAAACCCUGAUGCAGCGACGCCGCGUGAGCGAAGAAGUAUUUCGGUAUGUAAAGCUCUAUCAGCAGGGAAGAUAAUGACGGUACCUGACUAAGAAGCCCCGGCUAACUACGUGCCAGCAGCCGCGGUAAUACGUAGGGGGCAAGCGUUAUCCGGAUUUACUGGGUGUAAAGGGAGCGUAGACGGCAAGGCAAGUCUGAUGUGAAAACCCAGGGCUUAACCCUGGGACUGCAUUGGAAACUGUCUGGCUCGAGUGCCGGAGAGGUAAGCGGAAUUCCUAGUGUAGCGGUGAAAUGCGUAGAUAUUAGGAAGAACACCAGUGGCGAAGGCGGCUUACUGGACGGUAACUGACGUUGAGGCUCGAAAGCGUGGGGAGCAAACAGGAUUAGAUACCCUGGUAGUCCACACCGUAAACGAUGAUUACUAGGUGUUGGGAGAUUGACCCUCUCAGUGCCGCAGUUAACACAAUAAGUAAUCCACCUGGGGAGUACGACCGCAAGGUUGAAACUCAAAGGAAUUGACGGGGGCCCGCACAAGCAGUGGAGUAUGUGGUUUAAUUCGACGCAACGCGAAGAACCUUACCAAGUCUUGACAUCCCUUGACGAUGCUGGAAACAGUAUUUCUCUUCGGAGCAAGGAGACAGGUGGUGCAUGGUUGUCGUCAGCUCGUGUCGUGAGAUGUUGGGUUAAGUCCCGCAACGAGCGCAACCCUUAUGGUCAGUUACUACGCAAGAGGACUCUGGCCAGACUGCCGUUGACAAAACGGAGGAAGGUGGGGAUGACGUCAAAUCAUCAUGCCCUUUAUGACUUGGGCUACACACGUACUACAAUGGCGUUAAACAAAGAGAAGCAAGACCGCGAGGUGGAGCAAAACUCAGAAACAACGUCCCAGUUCGGACUGCAGGCUGCAACUCGCCUGCACGAAGUCGGAAUUGCUAGUAAUCGUGGAUCAGCAUGCCACGGUGAAUACGUUCCCGGGCCUUGUACACACCGCCCGUCACACCAUGAGAGCCGGGGGGACCCGAAGUCGGUAGUCUAACCGCAAGGAGGACGCCGCCGAAGGUAAAACUGGUGAUUGGGGUGAAGUCGUAACAAGGUA